rnacentral:rRNA from 1 species
UACGUAGGGUGCAAGCGUUGUCCGGAAUUAUUGGGCGUAAAGAGCUCGUAGGCGGUCUGUCGCGUCUGCUGUGAAAACUCAGGGCUUAACCCUGAGCUUGCAGUGGGUACGGGCAGACUAGAGUGCGGUAGGGGAGACUGGAAUUCCUGGUGUAGCGGUGAAAUGCGCAGAUAUCAGGAGGGAACACCGGGUGGGCGAAAGGCGGGGUCUCUGGGGCCG